AACGAACGCUGGCGGCAGGCUUAACACAUGCAAGUCGAGCGCCCCGCAAGGGGAGCGGCAGACGGGUGAGUAACGCGUGGGAAUCUACCGUGCCCUACGGAAUAACGCAUGGAAACGUGUGCUAAUACCGUAUACGCCCUACGGGGGAAAGAUUUAUCGGGGUAUGAUGAGCCCGCGUUGGAUUAGCUAGUUGGUGGGGUAAAGGCCUACCAAGGCGACGAUCCAUAGCUGGUCUGAGAGGAUGAUCAGCCACAUUGGGACUGAGACACGGCCCAAACUCCUACGGGAGGCAGCAGUGGGGAAUAUUGGACAAUGGGCGCAAGCCUGAUCCAGCCAUGCCGCGUGAGUGAUGAAGGUCUUAGGAUUGUAAAGCUCUUUCACCGGUGAAGAUAAUGACGGUAACCGGAGAAGAAGCCCCGGCUAACUUCGUGCCAGCCGCCGCCGUAAAAC
rnacentral:rRNA from 1 species